rnacentral:tRNA from 1 species
GAGGGUAUAGCUCAGUGGUAGAGUGUGUACCUACCAUGCACGAGGUCCUGGGUUCAAUGCCCAGUACCUUCA